CCUGUGGACACCACGGACGUCGCUCUGCAGAGUAACAGCACGCGUCAUCCUCCAACUUUCUACUCUGAAAAAUCAACGGGUGAAUGUGUUUCUCCGUAGUUCAUUAACGGUUAUUUUAAUUUUGUGUUUUAGAUUCUGUUAGGUUGAAAACAUGUUCGUGCAGCGCAAUGGUAUGAAAAAGGAGAAUUGUCAACAGAUGUUUAUUGUGAAUGAACGCUGCCUGUUCCAGUUGUUUCGACGCAAGUGCCCGUCGUGCGGCUGCAAACUGCACACGGGAAGGUCACGCGUGGCCUGCUGAUCAUCCUGAACCAGCGCUGCUCGCGCUGUGGGCACAGAAACCAGUGGCAAAGCCAAGAAAACGCAGACGCAGCCCAGAAGGCAGAGCCAACUGGUGACAGGUCCAGCAAGGAAAGUGUCUCAAAGAUCGGUACCUUCAGUGAUGACGAAAGUGAGGAGGGGUGGAGUCCGGUUGAGAAAAAAGAAGAGGAGGAAGAUUUUAUUUCCCUUCUGUCAUGUGACUUGAAACUGAAGCACGAGCUGAUCCAUCGGGAGAGGAACGCAGCGCCCACCUGUCAAAUCACAGAACCCAGGCGGACGUCAGAUGGCAAGUUAUCACAGUGUGGCAGAGGCUACGAACACGAUUCUGGAUGGUAAUGCUAGUGACAUGGAGCAGCUAGGGGAAGAUGAUGAUGAGGAGGAGGAGGAGGAGCAGGAAUGGUCUACUUCUGCAAAGAUGGAGAAAAAAUCUAAUUGUAGUGAUGAGGAGGAAGAUUCAGAAGAGGACACAACAAAUCCAAAUGACACAAAAGCAAAGCAGUCGACAAGCAGCAAAGUGAAAGGGGAGGAGUAAAAGGUUUGAAGCUCCAGCUGUUGAGUUUGAGGAAUGUGUUGAGGAACACUCUGAAGACAGGCUCACCUGGACACCGUAUAUGUAUUUCAAAGAUUUUGUGACCGAGGAAAUGCUACAAGGAAUUGCGGGAGAAACAAACUCGUACAGUGUGCAGAAAGAUGGAACGUCGGUGCACACAAAUGCCAAAGAAAUUGAGCAGAUUCGGACAGGGUAAAAAAACUGCCCACUGAUGGAUGAGAAGGACUUGAAGAAAAAGGGCAGAGGGUCUCUGGAUUUCAGAGUAAAUCAGGACGGCAUCAUUAUCGUGAGAUGGUGCGACAGCAGAGCUGUGACCCUGAUCUCUUCCUUUGUCGGCAUUGAACCACUUGGAAAUGCGAAGCGCUGGGAUCGGAACGCUAAAAGACACACAACGGUGCCCAGACCGGCCAUCGCUGACACAUUCCACAGGUUCAUGGGGGGCGUGGGGCUUCUUGACAUGUUAACCGCACUUUACAAGUACAACUUCCGAUCCCGACGGUGGUACCUAUACAUUUGGUGGCACACUGUCACGGUGGCAGUAAUAAAUGCUUGGCUCCGCUCCAAAAGAGACCUGGAGGAACUGAAAUCCAGCCAGAAGCCCCUUCCCCUGAGGAGGUUUCAGGCUCAUGUCGCCACCUCUCUCAGCAGCGCGGGAAAGGGCAAGGUGUGCGGCCGAGCGCUGUCCUCUCCAGCAGCAGCAGCAGCUGCCCCCCCCCCCCCCCCCCCCCCCCCCCCCCCCCCCCCACACAAGAGGAACUGCACCGUAACGCCCCCCCCGACGUGAGACGGGACGGCAUCGGUCACUUCCAAGACCAGAGACAAGAUCAGAAACUGUUCUCGGGCCUACCACCUCGCAAAAUAAAAUGCUGUGAGGCACAAUAUGAGUAAAGAAUAACAGAAAUGUUACUUUUCCACGCUCCCAGUUCCAUUCGUGUUGGUUUUGGUUUGUUUAAGAUGUUUUGUAGCACUGCAACAUGCAGUAAAAUGCGAUAAAAGCUCCAGUUUCAAAGAAUUAGAUUAUUAUUUAUUCAAUUAUUUAACAUCAAAUGGUUCUGGAAAACAUAAACCAGAACCUUUUGAUGUUUUUUUUUAAUUUUUUUGAUCAGACUCUGAGGCCCGUGGACAUAAAAAUGGUCUGACUAGCUGUCACCAAACCCUCUCUGAUGAUUUGACAUCAAUAAAAUGUGCAGCCAGUAGAUAAGGAUUGGUCUCGGUCUCACGUUUUGUUUCUGAAAUCACUUUGACAGAAUUUACCUGCUGGCCAAUAACUCGCUCGCGGAGAUCGGUUUUCUCACACAAUGUCUUUGAAGUCAUCAGCCUGUGUUUGAUGGUGGGACUUCGUCCUGUCACGGUCCAAGGUUUAGCUUUUAAUAAAACAUGUUCUCUCUUAAAUGAUAGCUCAGUUCAGUUGCUAUAAAUUCAUAUAAGCGACAGACUUUCUGAUAAAUGUAUUUCAUUUAAUAAAGAAACGAAAAUGCU